rnacentral:lncRNA from 1 species
UUCAUUUUGAUAUUUUGCACAACCUAUAAAUUCAUUCAACUACAAAUAAUAUUUCAUACACAUAUAUUUUAUUAAUCGGUGAUUUGUCCCACGAUUUUAAAAUAGUGGUAUUAUAGUUUUCAACUCCCUAUAUAAAGAAAAGUUUGUCUAUUAGGGUAGAGGGGGGUGGUGAAUUAUUUUUUUUGAGAGGGGUUGAGAAUUUUCAGAUUUUUAUUUACAAUAGGGUUUCACUAUUUAUAAAUUUUCCGGCGCCGCCACCACCGGAUUCCGGCCAAGCUCGGACAGCCCUAAAACCCCCAUUUUUUCCCUCCCAUUUCUUCUCCAAACCAGAUCCAAGACCCCUUCUGGCUACUCUCACUUUGUCAUUUCUGGCAAAAUUCUGGUGAAAUCCCACCUCUUUUCCGACCAAACAACUCAACAGCUUCCCAACACCACCAUAUCUCCACCCAAAAACGACCAAGGAUCCACCACAAUCCCAUCUCUGGCGAAAACAUCCAAAUACCCGCCUGAAACCAGCAAGCCAUCGAGCUCGAAGCUCACAAUCAGAUCUCCACCACCCAAACGACCCCAAGUUCCAACUCCGGCAAGGAGCUCAAAGCUCCGAUGAACCGGAGCAAAUGAAGGCGAUGACCAGCCCCUUCCCCUCUCCCCUUUACAUAUUUUCUUUCGUUUUCGCAGGUGAACUACAACAACAACAACAACCAGCAGCUCUGACCUCUGGCAAAGAAGUCAGACCCAACCAAAUCUCAGCCAAAGCACACAUUGUCACUCCAUUUCCGGCAGACCACCGUUUCAAUACUGUUGGUAUGCCUUUUCCUUUAUCUAUUUUGGCUUAUGUCCUCAUCUUAUUUGCUAUUGUUUUUUUUAUUAUUUUUCAUCACUUCCAUUAUUUGUGUAUCAUAAAUUAGCUUCUGCCUUUGUUAAUUUUUAAUUACUAUAAAGUGACAUCCAAAGUGUUUAGUUUUAAUCUAGAAUGUUGGCAUCAUAACUUUCAUUAUAUUGACUAUGCUAUUCAUUAUUUUAUAUAGGUUUCUUAAUUUUUCAUUUUAAUCUUUGUGCUAUUAUCUUCUUCUUCUUUUUUUUUCAUUUUUUUUUUUUGGUCAAUAGAUCUGGAUAUGCAUGGUUGCUAAUUCUUUAUUUAUAUUUUCUUUUUUUUCUCUUAAGUUAAUUUAGUUUUGUUCGUUGUGAUGGUAGUAGUAUUUUCUGUUAAAGUUUAUAGUUUUUUUUUUCAUUAUAGAUUAUUGUGUGUUUGUUUGAACUUAUCUAUUUUUAUUUUUAUUUUCAUUUUGAUUUGGGCUAUGUUAGUUAUUCUUUGUUACAUUUUUAAAGUUUUAUUUUUUAUUUUACCUUUUCUCAUUAUUAUUUUUUAGCAUAGUGUUUCCAGUGAUACACGUUUGCCAAGUUGCCUUAGUUUAUAAUUUAUUUUGAAUAGGAAGACAUGUGUUUAUUUUAGAUUUAAUCAAAAUUGAUUGCAUUUCACUUUUUAAGGAAGGCCAGUGACCCGUGUUGCUUUAUUUAUUUAUUUUAAAUUAUUUUGUUUGGUUUUUAUUAUUUUUAUGUAGUUUAUGAAAUAUUGUCACUUGUUAAUUUUAUAUGAUUGUGUAAAAAAAUAAAAUAUUCAAUUGGUCAAUGAAAAAAUCUCUCCGUCGAUUUUGGAGACUUCCACAUUUUAAAUAGCUCCAGUUUUAGGUUCUUUUUGUUGUUAUUUUUACUUGGUGGAACACAUUUCUUAUAAUAUUUUAAGUUUGUUAGACUUUUCAAACAAAGCUGAAAUUUAGUUGGAAUUUAAGUAUUUGAAUAGUUUCUUUUCUUUUCGGUCUCUGUUACUAUUAUUACUGUUGGUUGCUGCUCUUUCUUAUCUUGUUGUUGACUUUCUUUUUCACUUUUGAAUUAUGUUAUGUUUAUUCCAUUUUUGUUUAAUAACUUGUGAUUGUUUACAUACUCAUGGUUACGUUUUGUUCAUGAUAGUUGCAAGCUCUCUGUUUUAUUGUUUUUUUUUCCUAUAGUUUGAUUUAUUUAUUUUUGUUUGUUGUUCAAUUCAUGUGAAAGAGUAUACAUGUAGAGGGUCAGUUGUUAAUUAAUUGAUAUUGAUUUUAUAUAUAUUUUUUAAUGUGGGACACACCUUUUAGCUAAAUGCCAUGAUUUCUUUUGUUUUGGUUGCUUGUGUCAUUGAUAUUAUUUCUUAUUUAGAUUGGUAUAGGUAUGGCUACGGUAUGUUCACCACUUCACUUUAUUAUUGUUGUUUUAUUUUUCAGUUGUAAUUGUUGACUUUAUGUCUGUUUUAUUGUUUUUUUUUCCUAUAGUUUGAUUUAUUUAUUUUUGUUUGUUGUUCAAUUCAUGUGAAAGAAUAUACAUGUAGAGGGUCAGUUGUUAAUUAAUUGAUAUUGAUUUUAUAUAUUUUUUUUAAUGUGGGACACACCUUUUAGCUAAAUGCCAUGAUUUCUUUUGUUUUGGUUGCUUGUGUCAUUGAUAUUAUUUCUUAUUUAGAUUGGUAUAGGUAUGGCUACGGUAUGUUCACCACUUCACUUUAUUAUUGUUGUUUUAUUUUUCAGUUGUAAUUGUUGACUUUAUGUUUACUACUUUAUCAAUUGUUUCUUCCUAUUUUGAUUAGCUAGUUUUAUGUUCAUGUUAUAUUGCUUUGAUAUUUUAUUUUUAUUUGCCAUCUUAUUUAUGUUAUUAUGUUUAUUUGAGCAUUUAAUUUAAUGGCCAAUGAAAAAAUCUCUCCGUCGAUUUUGGAGGCCUCCACAUUUUAAAAGACGAAAAUUUAGUUUAAAUUUAUAUGAGUUUUAUGUUAAAAUUGGCCGAUGAAGAAAUUACCGUUGAUUUCCAAGGCCUCCCAUGUUAAUAAGACGGGUUUUUAUUUUUUAAGUUAUUGUGUAAUUCACUUAUUUUUAUUCAUAUUUAUUUAUUACUAACACUUUUACUAAGUGUCUUUACAGGUACCCGGAGCUGCUUCCCAUUGAAGCUAUUCGAACAAAGUUCGAACAAUAUUUUGAUUCAUUAUCGUAUAUUAUUGACGAUAGAAAAAUCUAGGUUGUUUCUUAUAAUAUUUUAUUUUAUUACUUGUGUAUCUUGUAUGUUUGUUUUAUUUGUAUAUUAUUUUUAUUUCCUCCUCAAUUUGAAAAAAAUAAACUCAGUCGGNNNNN